UCACAAUGCGAGUUUAGCAUUUAAGGACUUUGAAGGAUAAAACUCCCUCAUGGAAUUAAAAAUGUUAGCAAUACCACAUUGUAGCUGUUUGAUGUGGGUGAGUUCUGAUCCUUAAACGAAAGUA